UGAGUGGGAUAAAUUUUGUGGUGUAUAAUUUGUGCCCUAAUUUAAACAAUAAAUAAUAAAUACCCAAUAAUCCGAAUUACACUGCUUUUGUGAGUGUUUUGUGAAUAAAUGCACCCCAAGGAGUAAACUGUGCAGGAACCAUUCCACAACAAACUGGAUCAUAAUGGAGCUUUCGCAUAGUCUAACAUUGAACGAAGAAGCAUUGGCACAAGUUCCAGCAGCAAAGAGGCCGGUAUUUGUAUUUGAAUGGCUUCGAUUUUUAGAUAAAGUAUUAAUUGCAGCUCAAAAGAAUGAUAUUAAGGGUUGCCAAAAGAAAUUAGUGGAGCAAUUAACAAGUCACAUUCAAGAGUCACCUGGACCGCCCACAAGGAAGUUAAUUGCCAGAUCGUUGGCUACACUUUUUUCUGUUGGCGAUACAUUCCUUCUAUUCGACACUGUCAAUAAGUGCAAUGAGAUAUUAAAGAACAAGGACGACUCGCCUAGUUUUUUACCUACCAAAUUGUAAGUAUACGAGAUUG